GAUGAACGCUGGCGGCGUGCCUAAUACAUGCAAGUCGAGCGAACGGACGAGAAGCUUGCUUCUCUGAUGUUAGCGGCGGACGGGUGAGUAACACGUGGAUAACCUACCUAUAAGACUGGGAUAACUUCGGGAAACCGGAGCUAAUACCGGAUAAUAUUUUGAACCGCAUGGUUCAAAAGUGAAAGACGGUCUUGCUGUCACUUAUAGAUGGAUCCGCGCUGCAUUAGCUAGUUGGUAAGGUAACGGCUUACCAAGGCAACGAUGCAUAGCCGACCUGAGAGGGUGAUCGGGCACACUGGAACUGAGACACGGUCCAGACUCCUACGGGAGGCAGAAGUAGGGAAGCUUCCGCAAUGUGCGAAAGCCUGACGGAGCAACGCCGCGUGAGUGAUGAAGGUCUUCGGAUCGUAAAACUCUGUUAUUAGGGGAGAACAUAUGUGUAAGUAACUGUGCACAUCUUGACGGUACCUAAUCAGAAAGCCACGGCUAACUACGUG
rnacentral:rRNA from 1 species